ACCGGAGGGCUGCUUGUGCCUCGGGGGCUCGCGGUGCGUCAGUGAGAGCAGGAGUGCAGGUGAGUUCCGCCCUGGCAAAACGACUGUUUGAGUUCGGACGCAUUCGACCCGCCCCUGCAGCCGCCAAGAGGACGGCGCGCGAACUGCCCGGUACUUGCCACCAGCUUGUCAGUGUGAGCGCCGGAAGGGAGGUCUCUGGAGCGGCUUCGGAUUUCGAGCCAGUCGCAGUCUUGGUCUGAUCCCCAGAGCGUGGCCAGUCCAGCGACCGCACCAGCAACUCGUAGGUGACAUUUUUACUGAGCUCUGGCGGCACUACAUGAACGGACGACACGCCAUCCCGAGAUAUUCGUCGUCAGUUCACCAGCUUACUCCCCAAUGCGUGCCCAGGCGCCAGAGCUGCGGGAAAGCCUCCAGCGCCCU